rnacentral:misc_RNA from 1 species
GAUGAAGAACGUAGCGAAAUGCGAUAAGUAAUGUGAAUUGCAGAAUUCAGUGAAUCAUCGAAUCUUUGAACGCACAUUGCGCCCCUUGGUAUUCCGAGGGGCAUGCCUGUUCGAGCGUCAUUUCAACCCUCAAGCACAGCUUGGUCUUGGGCUUCGCCGCUAACCCGGCGGGUCUUAAAAUCAGUGGCGGUGCCGUCGGGCCCUGAGCGCAGUAAUUUCUCUCGCUAUAGGGUCCCGGCGGAUACUGGCCAGUAACCCCCAAUUUUCUAUGGUUGACCUCGGAUCAGGUAGGGAUACCCGCUGAACUUAAGCAUAUCAAUAAGCGGAGGA